AAUUCGAUGCAACGCGAAGAACCUUACCUGGUCUUGACAUCCCGGAGACCCUUAGGAAACUAGGGGUGCUUCCAUCUGGAAGAAUCUGGAGACAGGUGCUGCAUGGCUGUCGUCAGCUCGUGUCGUGAGAUGUUGGGUUUAAGUCCCGCAACGAGCGCAACCCUUGCCUUUAGUUGCCAGCAGUUCGGCUGGGCACUCUAAAGGGACUGCCGGUGUUAAACCGGAGGAAGGUGGGGAUGACGUCAAGUCCUCAUGGCCUUUAUGACCAGGGCUACACACGUACUACAAUGGCCGAUACAAAGGGCAGCGACACUGCGAGGUGAAGCCAAUCCCGUAAAAUCGGUCUCAGUCCGGAUUGGAGUCUGCAACUCGACUCCAUGAAGUUGGAAUCGCUAGUAAUCGUGGAUCAGCAUGCCACGGUGAAUACGUUCCCGGGCCUU
rnacentral:rRNA from 1 species